GAGGAAUGAUUGCUUGGCCUUGUCAUCUGUUGGCAAUAAGCGAAGAUUUCUAUUAGUGCAUAUAGAAUGAUACUUUAUAUGUUUCUCAUUUGGUGACAGGUACUUAGAUUUUGCAUAUGAUGGUUGAAGAUGGUUGAUAGUAAAUUAGUUGAGUUUUUAUUUUAUAAGACUUAGUUUUAAA